rnacentral:rRNA from 1 species
GGGCGUAAAGAGCUCGUAGGUGGUUCGUCACGUCGGAUGUGAAAAUCUGGGGCUUAACCCCAGACCUGCAUUCGAUACGGGCGAGCUAGAGUGUGGUAGGGGAGACUGGAAUUCCUGGUGUAGCGGUGGAAUGCGCAGAUAUCAGGAGGAACACCAAUGGCGAAGGCAGGUCUCUGGGCCAUUACUGACACUGAGGAGCGAAAGCGUGGGGAGCGAACAGGAUUAGAUACCCUGGUAGUCCACGCCGUAAACGGUGGGCACUAGUUGUGGGAACCUUCCACGGUUUCUGCGACGCAGCUAACGCAUUAAGUGCCCCGCCUGGGGAGUACGAUCGCAAGAUUAAAACUCAAAGGAAUUGACGGGGCCCCGCACAAGGCAGCGGAGCAUGCGGCUUAAUUCGACGCAACGCGAAGAACCUUACCAAGGCUUGACAUAUACACGGAAUAUGGCAUAAAUGUCAUAGCCGCAAGGUCUGUAUACAUGUGGUGCAUGGUUGUCGUCAGCUCGUGUCGUGAGAGUGUUGGGUUAAGUCCCGCAACGAGCGCAACCCUCGUUCUGUGUUGCCAGCAUUUAGUUGGGGACUCACAGGAGACUGCCGGGGUUAACCUCGGAGGAAGGUGGGGAUGACGUCAAAUCAUCAUGCCCCUUAUGUCUUGGGCUGCACGCAUGCUACAAUGGCUGGUACAAACGGCUGCGAUACCGCAAGGUGGAGCGAAUCCGAUAAAGCCAGUCUCAGUUCGGAUUGGGGUCUGCAACUCGACCGCCAUGAAGUCGGAGUUGCUAGUAAUCGUAGA